rnacentral:rRNA from 1 species
GACGAACGCUGGCGGCGUGCUUAACACAUGCAAGUCGAACGCUGAAGCUUGGUGCUUGCACUGGGUGGAUGAGUGGCGAACGGGUGAGUAAUACUUGAGUAACCUGCCCUUGACUCUGGGAUAAGCCUGGGAAACUGGGUCUAAUACUGGAUACGACAUGUCACCGCAUGGUGGUGUGUGGAAAGGGUUUUACUGGUUUUGGAUGGGCUCACGGCCUAUCAGCUUGUUGGUGGGGUAAUGGCUCACCAAGGCGACGACGGGUAGCCGGCCUGAGAGGGUGACCGGCCACACUGGGACUGAGACACGGCCCAGACUCCUACGGGAGGCAGCAGUGGGGAAUAUUGCACAAUGGGCGGAAGCCUGAUGCAGCGACGCCGCGUGAGGGAUGACGGCCUUCGGGUUGUAAACCUCUUUCAGCACGGAAGAAGCGAAAGUGACGGUACGUGCAGAAGAAGCGCCGGCUAACUACGUG